rnacentral:rRNA from 1 species
UCCAGAGGGGGCGAGCGUUGUUCGGAAUUACUGGGCGUAAAGGGCGCGUAGGCGGCCCUCUAAGUCGAACGUGAAAUCCCCGGGCUCAACCCGGGAACUGCGUCCGAUACUGGAGGGCUCGAAUCCGGGAGAGGGAUGUGGAAUUCCAGGUGUAGCGGUGAAAUGCGUAGAUAUCUGGAGGAACACCGGUGGCGAAGGCGGCAUCCUGGACCGGUAUUGACGCUGAGGCGCGAAAGCCAGGGGAGCAAACGGG